rnacentral:rRNA from 1 species
AACGAACGCUGGCGGCAUGCCUAACACAUGCAAGUCGAACGAGACCUUCGGGUCUAGUGGCGCACGGGUGCGUAACGCGUGGGAACCUGCCUUUAGGUUCGGAAUAACUCAGAGAAAUUUGAGCUAAUACCGGAUGAUGUCUUCGGACCAAAGAUUUAUCGCCUUUAGAUGGGCCCGCGUUGGAUUAGCUAGUUGGUGGGGUAAAGGCCUACCAAGGCGACGAUCCAUAGCUGGUCUGAGAGGAUGAUCAGCCACACUGGGACUGAGACACGGCCCAGACUCCUACGGGAGGCAGCAGUGGGGAAUAAUGGACAAUGGGCGAAAGCCUGAUCCAGCAAUGCCGCGUGAGUGAUGAAGGCCUUAGGGUUGUAAAGCUCUUUUACCCGAGAUGAUAAUGACAGUAUCGGGAGAAUAAGCUCCGGCUAACUCCGUG